GGAGUGGCAGACGGGUGAGUAACGCGUGGGAACAUACCCUUUGGUUCGGAAUAACUCGGCGAAAGCCGUGCUAAUACCGGAUAAGCCCUUUACGGGGGAAAGAUUUAUCGCCGAAGGAUUGGCCCGCGUCCGAUUAGCUAGUUGGUGAGGUAAUGGCUCACCAAGGCGACGAUCGGUAGCUGGUCUGAGAGGAUGAUCAGCCACACUGGGACUGAGACACGGUCCAUACACCUACGGGUGGCAGCAGUAGGGAAUAUUGGUCAAUGGGCGAAAGCCUGACGCAGCAACGCCGCGUGAGGGACGAAGGCCUUCGGGUCGUAAACCUC
rnacentral:rRNA from 1 species